CAUCUACUCCUUCCGUCCGGAAAUAUUUGUCAUCAAAAUGGAUAAAAGGGGAUGUAUCUAGACGUAUUUUAGUUCGAAAUACAUCUCCUUUUAUCCAUUUUGAUGACAAGUAUUUUUAGACAGAGGGAGUACUAA
rfam:Triticum urartu cultivar G1812 contig1010006, whole genome shotgun sequence.